rnacentral:rRNA from 1 species
GACGUAGGGGGCAAGCGUUAUUCGGAAUCAUUGGGCGUAAAGCGCUCGUAGGCGGGACGGGAAGUCCGUGAAGAAAGACCUGGGCUCAACUCAGGGACCGGCACGGAUACUCUCGUUCUUGAGGCAAUCAGAGGGUGAUGGAAUUCCCGGUGUAGCGGUGAAAUGCGUAGAUAUUGGGAAGAACACCGGUGGCGAAGGCGGCGACCUGGUCCUUGACUGACGCUGAGGCGCGAAAGCGUGGGGAGCAAACAGG